UGUAUUUUCCGCCUGUAUUCCGACAUAACCCUGCUUCCUGCGCUGGGACGUAACUGACACACUGAGUUGUGAUUGGUCCAAAUUCUGGUCUCUAAGAGGUGAUAUAAUAAGCCACUGUGAGCUACUAACCAAUCUCCAGUAACGGAGGCGGGGUUUAUCGGAAUACAGGUAGGAAAGAAUUACAAAAAAAAUUUCAUGAAAUUGUGGGAAUGACGAGGGGAGUAAUAGAAAAAACAGUGUGGAAUUUGUAAAUUAUUCAGUGAUGUCGUUUUUUUUUUUGCUUUGGGAAAAAAAAAAUUUUAAUGGAUAAUUGAAUGAGUGGCAUGCAUGGUGCUGUCAGUUAUAAGUUGUAGUUAUCAGAAUCAGAAGAAGAAGAAGAAGAAGAAGAAGAAGAAGAAGAAGAAUGGGAAAUAAUAAUAAUAAUAAGAAGAAGAAGAAGAAGAAGAAGAAGAAGAAGAAGAAGAAUGUGCCUGUGCCUUUGAUUUUAAUUACCUACAUAAUCAAUAACUUAAUGUGGUGUUCCCCAGCUUCACCUCUUCUGUUAAUUUGCAAAUUAUAUCCCAAAUUAUAACUUCAGUUUGUGUGUGAAUCUGACACAAAAUCCAAGGAAGAAAGGGAAGAUGAGACAUACCGUUCAUGUCAUACUGCUCACGUAGUAAUUUAUGAACAGGACCAUUUUUGUGACUAGUAAUGUGAUCCUAAUGCUAGCUUACUCAGCAAAAAGAGAAGCAUGUUGUCUGCACUGGUAAAAGCAAGACUUACUUAAAAUAGUUUUGUUCCCUGUAAAAUCAACUACACUCUGGCCUCUACACUUCUGUUGCACGAACACUUGGAACGUAUGCACUAAAAUCCUUAUCUAAAUUUUCCACAUUAGACAUAUUUGGCAUAUUUUGUUCUGACUACAGAAAUACAGCAUUUAAUAAUGUCAUGCUACAGUGUUUUAAAGGAACCUUCUAAAAGCCUGUUCAAUUCAAAAACAUUCAUUCUACAUAAACCUUUAUGUAUAAACUUUGAAAGCAGACUGCUGUGCUCACCAUCAAUACCCUAAACGAACAUCAUUAUUAAAUAUGAAAUAAGUGAUGAACAAAUAAUCAACCUUUUAAUACAUUCAUCCUUACUGCAUCUGGACAUAAUGAAGCACGUUCAUUAACAGUUAUAUAGAGUAUGCAUAACUGUUAAUAAUGGUAGAAGUUGUAUUGGCAUUUUGUCAACUGGUUUUGUUGACAGUAUUAACAAAGAUAGUCUCUUUGGAAAAAAUCCACCACAACUCAGUUUAUAAGCUAAAAAUGUUGAUGCCAUUUUGAAUAUUAUGCUCCAAAUCCAAUGUAAACACUAACACAGGAUAUAUAUAUAUUAUGUAUUAUUAAAUACAAAUUUAAUAUACAUAAUGUUAAUGUUAAUAAUUUUGUCAGGAGCUUCAUAUUAAAAUUUAUAAUACAGAAUUCGAAAAUCAUGUCUGUAAGUGGGGCCUUUUAUUUUAAGUAUAGUUAAAAGGAAAAUCAAAAUUGUAUUACUGAUUACAUAUUAACUGUCCUAUAUGUUGAGCCCUCCGGGUGUGCAGACUCCAUAUUGUUUUGGAUUCUGUCUGGGAACAGGAAUUUUUUUAUUUGCAUUUUUGAUGAAUACAUGAUCACUUGUUAGCUUUUUUGUAAAGCCCCCUCUCAAGAGCUUUCAUGUGGACAACACCUGGGUUUUUUUAAAUAAACACUAAGCUACAUUUCAAGACAUUAUUUAGAAUUGCCAUAAGUGAAAAAGCAAAGUAUUUGAGUAAUCUAUAUUUAUUGAAAUCCACCAAUCAUUUUAUAGCAAGAUGGAAAACUUAACUGUAAUACGUAAUUCAAAACCACAAAUUUAUCAAAGUAUACAGUAUGUUCUUACACAAAGAAUGUAUUACAAAAUUAGGCAUGUGACAAUAACAGUGCAGGAAAUUUUCCUUCACACACAAACCCUCCAGCUUGUAGGAUUCAGAGUGCCACACUGUUUGGGAUCCUGUCUGGAGACAGGUAGAAGAAGGGAAGAUUCUUCCCCUCAUUGCGAUUUUUGAUGGCUUUG